GGACGGGUGAGUAACACGUGGAUAACCUACCUAUAAGACUGGGAUAACUUCGGGAAACCGGAGCUAAUACCGGAUAAUAUAUUGAACCGCAUGGUUCAAUAGUGAAAGACGGUUUUGCUGUCACUUAUAGAUGGAUCCGCGCCGCAUUAGCUAGUUGGUAAGGUAACGGCUUACCAAGGCAACGAUGCGUAGCCGACCUGAGAGGGUGGAUCGGCCACACUGGAACUGAGACACGGUCCAG
rnacentral:rRNA from 1 species